GAUGAACGCUGGCGGCGUGCCUAAUACAUGCAAGUCGAGCGAACGGACGAGAAGCUUGCUUUUCUGAUGUUAGCGGCGGACGGGUGAGUAACACGUGGAUAACCUACCUAUAAGACUGGGAUAACUUCGGGAAACCGGAGCUAAUACCGGAUAAUAUUUUGAACCGCAUGGUUCAAAAGUGAAAGACGGUCUUGCUGUCACUUAUAGAUGGAUCCGCGCUGCAUUAGCUAGUUGGUAAGGUAACGGCUUACCAAGGCAACGAUGCAUAGCCGACCUGAGAGGGGGAUCGGCCACACUGGAACUGAGACACGGUCCAGACUCCUACGGGAGGCAGCAGUAGGGAAUCUUCCGCAAUGGGCGAAAGCCUGACGGAGCAACGCCGCGUGAGUGAUGAAGGUCUUCGGAUCGUAAAACUCUGUUAUUAGGGAAGAACAUAUGUGUAAGUAACUGUGCACAUCUUGACGGUACCUAAUCAGAAAGCCACGGCUAACUACGUG
rnacentral:rRNA from 1 species